UACGUAGGGUGCGAGCGUUGUCCGGAAUUAUUGGGCGUAAAGAGCUCGUAGGCGGUUUGUCGCGUCGGCCGUGAAAACUUGGGGCUUAACUCCAAGCUUGCGGUCGAUACGGGCAGACUUGAGUUCGGCAGGGGAGACUGGAAUUCCUGGUGUAGCGGUGAAAUGCGCAGAUAUCAGGAGGAACACCGGCGGCGAAGGCGGCACUCUGGGCCGGUACUGACGCUGAGACGCGAAAGCGUGGGGAGCGAACAGG
rnacentral:rRNA from 1 species